rnacentral:misc_RNA from 1 species
GAUGAAGAACGUAGCGAAAUGCGAUAAGUAAUGUGAAUUGCAGAAUUCAGUGAAUCAUCGAAUCUUUGAACGCACAUUGCGCCCCUUGGUAUUCCGAGGGGCAUGCCUGUUCGAGCGUCAUAUUAACCACUCCCGCUUGCGGGGUCUUGGGCUUCGCCUCCGGGCGGGCCUUAAAAUCAGUGGCGGUGCCGUCGGGCUCUACGCGUAGUAAAUUUUCUCGCGAUAGGGUCCCGGUGGAUGCUUGCCAACAACCCCCAACUUCUUAAGGUUGACCUCGGAUCAGGUAGGGAUACCCGCUGAACUUAAGCAUAUCAAUAAGCGAGGA